rnacentral:rRNA from 1 species
UACGUAGGGUGCGAGCGUUUGUCCGGAAUUAUUGGGCGUAAAGAGCUUGUAGGCGGUUUGUCGCGUCUGCUGUGAAAAUCCGGGGCUCAACCCCGGACUUGCAGUGGGUACGGGCAGACUAGAGUGUGGUAGGGGAGACUGGAAUUCCUGGUGUAGCGGUGAAAUGCGCAGAUAUCAGGAGGAACACCGAUGGCGAAGGCAGGUCUCUGGGCCGACUACUGACGCUGAGGAGCGAAAGCGUGGGUAGCAAACAGG